rnacentral:rRNA from 1 species
AUGGAAGGGGGAGAGCAAAAAGUUGCAUCAUUUCCUGAUGCGCCGCCCAAACCCAAGGACGACGACAUCCCCGCCGCCGCCAAGUCCCUCACCAUCAAGACCGCCGCCAAUGCCGGCGGCUCCGACUGGCCGAGCCCCGUCUCGCCCUACCUCGGCUCGCCCUCGCCGCCGUCCUCCGCCUUCGUCUCCGCGCUGCAGUCGCCCUACAUCUCCCCUCGGAUCGCCGAGCCUCCUCCUCCUCCUAAUCCCCAGCCGCCGCAUCGAGGAACCAAGGUCUCCCGGACCCCCGCGCUGCCCUCGCCGGCGCCCCGCGGCGCCGGAGGGUUCCGGUCGGAGGACACGGACGCGCCGACGAGCGCCUCCCGCACGCCGCCGUCGGACCGCGGCUACGACUCCCGGUCCCAGGGCGCCGACCCGCGCCGGCGGUCCUCCGACGGCGGCCCCGCGCCGCGGGUGUCCUUCUCCUUCCCCGUGCCGCGCGUCUCGCUCACGCGGGGCGCCGUCGCGUCGCCCAUGUCCAACGGCAAGCUCCGGAGCUGCGACGUCUACAUCGGCUUCCACGGCCAGGGGGCUGCCCUCGCCAGGUUCUGCCGGUGGCUCAAGGCAGAGCUUGAGCUGCAAGGGAUCGCCGCGUUCACGGCCGACCGGGCCAGGUACUCCGGCGCGCACAGCCAUGAGGUCGCAGACCGCAUCAUCUGCUCGGCGGCUUUCGGCAUCGUGGUGGUCACCACGUCCAGCUUCCUCAACCCGUUCGUCCUCGAGGAGAUCCGGUUCUUUGCUCAGAAGAGGAACCUGCUGCCAAUCUUGUUUGACACCAGGGUGUCAGACAUCGCCGGGCUGUUUGAUGGCAAACCUGAAGAUAAGGAGGGGAUGGAAGCUUUGGACGGCCUAAUGCGGUGCCAUGAGCUGAAGCUCGAGACAGAUGAGAGCAGCUGGAGGAGGUGUGUGUCGACGGCGGUCACCGUGCUGCAAUCGAAGCUUGGCCGGGGUACAAUUGCUGAAAAGGAGAGCGAGGGAACUGAGGGUUUGCCAUUUCCGCGCAACAGGCAUUUCAUUGGAAGGGAGAAAGAGCUUGCUGAGAUCGAGGGAAUGUUCUUCGGUUGCGCCGGCGAAGUCGAAGAUGUGGAGUGCCCAGGGGGCAGCACCAUGCCUAAUUGUGUAUCCAGUGGUGUGUCAGAUGGAGGAUUUGCUGAUGAGGACAGUGACAGGGUGAGGACAAGCAGUGGCAGGUUUGGCAGCUUGGAGUUGCACAAGUGCAAUCGGCCUAUGUUGGAGCCAUCGGUUGCUCCGGCGAUCGAUCUGUCGGCUGCGAAAGGGAUCGGUCUUCUGAAGCAGAGAUCAAAGCUCAGGAAGUCAAGAUUCAGGUGCAACAGCAAGGAUCAUGGCAAUGGCAAUGUGGUCUGCAUCAAUGGCAUUUCAGGCAUUGGCAAGACGGAGCUGGCAUUGGAAUUUGCGUACCGGUACUCACAGCGGUACAAGAUGGUAUUGUGGAUUGGAGGCGAGGCAAGGUACCUGAGACAGAACAUACUGAAUUUGUCGGGGUAUUUGGGACUGGAUAUCAGCGCCGAGGCUGACAGGGAGCACGGCAGGAUCAGGAGCUUUGAGGAGCAAGAGUUGGAUGCAUUUCAAAGGGUGAAGAGAGAGCUUUUCAGGGAUGUGCCCUACUUGCUCAUAAUCGAUAACCUCGAGAGCGAGAGGGAUUGGUGGGAAGGGAAGGACCUGCAAGAUUUCAUUCCUAGAAACACUGGAGCAAGCCAUGUCAUCGUGACAACACGGCUGCCGCAUUUCAUGAACCUUGAGCCAAUUCAUCUUCCGCAGCUCUCGUUUCAUGAUGCUAUGGUCCUGAUAAAGGGGAAAAAGAAGAAGGAUUACCCUCCUGAGGAACUGGAAGUUCUGAAGAAAUUCGAUGAGCAGCUGGGGCGAGUCAGCUUCGGGCUGUGGCUUGUUGGUUCACUGUUGUCCGAGUUGAUGAUAGACCCCGGUAUUCUUUUUGAGGCUGUCGAGCGGGUGUUGUUAAAUGAGAACAUGAUUGUGCUCUGUUCUGGUGAUGACAACUUAUGGCAGAACAAUUUGUUUCUGAUCAAGGUAUUAGUCUUCUGCUUUGCAUUGAUGAACCAGGUGAAAGGAGGUGGUCUUGCCUUGAGGAUGAUCACAGUAGGUUCUUGGCUAGCUCCAUCGCCCGUGUCGUCAACCCUACUAGCUGCCAUGGCCAGUAAGCUGCCAACAAAAACCAAUAGCAUUCAGCUGUUGAGUGAAUCACUUAAGGCGGCACUCUUGUGCGGCACACACUGCUUUCUGCAGCCACAGGCAAGGAAAGCUGAGGUGGAGUCGGCACACUUGCUGGUAAAACUUGGCUUGGCGCGGAAAACAACUCAGCGUCCAGGUUGCUGGAUUCAGUUUCACCCGAUCGUGCAGAUGUUCGGCAAGAUCAGCGGCAGUCUGGCACCGGCAUCCGCAGCAGUAUCUGGUGUCAUAAGGACCGGCAAUAUGUCUAUCUACUCAGACCACAUGUGGGCUAGUGCAUUUCUUCUGUUUGGCUUCAAAUCAGAGCCUCCUGUGGUUCAACUCAAGCCGGUCGACCUGGUGCUCUUCAUCAAGAAGAUAGCACUGCCCCUGGCAAUCCAAGCGCUCAUGGCAUUCUCGCGCUGCGGCUCGGCCUUGGAGUUGCUCAAGGUGUGCACCAACAUCCUCGAGGACGCGGAGAAGUCGGUCGCGUCACGGAUACAGGACCUGAAGCAGGGAUCGCUGUGCUGGAAGAAGAAGCUGCGGGCGGACAACCAUGCCGACGAGUUCAUCUGGCAUGAGAUGGCACUGCUGAAAGCAACGCUGCUCGAGACGAGGGCGAAGCUGCUGGUGCGAGGCGGGUUGUUCGACAGCGGGGAGGAGCUGUGCAGGACCUGCAUCAGCAUCAGGACGGUCAUGCUUGGCCACGACCAUGCCCAGACAUUGGCGGCUCAGGAGACGCUCGCAAAGGUGGUUAGAUACAGGAGCAAAAUCUGA